rnacentral:rRNA from 1 species
AGAGUUUGAUCCUGGCUCAGGGUGAACGCUAGUAGUAUGCCUAACACAUGCGAGUCGAACGAAGACAAUGUCUUCGUGGCGUACGGGUGAGUAAUACACAGGAAUCUGCCUUUUAGUUCAGCUUAAAAUUUUGAAUAUCUAAAGAAAACUUUUCGCUAAAAGAUGAGCCUGUGAAGGAUUAGGUAGUUGGUGUGGGUAAAAGCCUACCAAGCCUUUGAUCCUUAGCUGUUCUGAGAGGAAGUACAGCCACACUGGGACUGAGACAAGGCCCAGGCUCCAUUUGGAGCCAGCAGUGAGGAAUUUUGGACAAUGAGCGAAAGCUUGAUCCAGCAAUACUACAUGAGUGAUGAAGGCUUUCAAGUUGUAAAGCUCUUUGGUUGAGGAGGAUAAUGACAGUACUCAACAAAAUAGCCCCGGCUAACUUCGUGCCAGUAGCCGCGGUAAGACGAAGGGGGCGAGCGUUAUCCGGAAUGACUGGGCGUAAAGGGUCCGUAGGCAGCAUUUUUUGUUAAUUGUGAAAGAAAAAAGCCCAACUUUUUUUAGCUUUUAAUACGUUAAUGCUUUGAGUUUGAGAGGGGGUAGCAGAAUUUCACAUGGAGGGGUGAUAUCCGUAGAUAUGUGAAGGAAUACCAGAGGCGAAGGCGGCUAUCUGGCUCAAUACUGACGUUGAGGGACGAAAGCAUGGGGAGCAAACAGGAUUAGAUACCCUGGUAGUCC